GGAGGAAUGGCAGAGCGGUCGAUUGCGGCGGUCUUGAAAACCGUUGAUGCGAGAGCAUCCUGGGGUUCGAAUCCCUAUUCCUCCGCCA
rnacentral:tRNA from 1 species